AGGAUGAGAAUUCUAAGGCGCUUGAGAGAACUCGGGAGAAGGAACUCGGCAAAUUGAUACCGUAACUUCGGGAGAAGGUAUGCCCUCUAAGGUUAAGGACUUGCUCCGUAAGCCCCGGAGGGUCGCAGAGAAUAGGUGGCUGCGACUGUUUAUUAAAAACACAGCACUCUGCCAACACGAAAGUGGACGUAUAGGGUGUGACGCCUGCCCGGUGCCGGAAGGUUAAUUGAAGAUGUGCAAGCAUCGGAUCGAAGCCCCGGUAAACGGCGGCCGUAACUAUAACGGUCCUAAGGUAGCGAAAUUCCUUGUCGGGUAAGUUCCGACCCGCACGAAUGGCGUAACGAUGGCCACACUGUCUCCUCCCGAGACUCAGCGAAGUUGAAGUGGUUGUGAAGAUGCAAUCUACCCGCUGCUAGACGGAAAGACCCCGUGAACCUUUACUGUAGCUUUGCAUUGGACUUUGAAGUCACUUGUGUAGGAUAGGUGGGAGGCUUGGAAGCAGAGACGCCAGUCUCUGUGGAGUCGUCCUUGAAAUACCACCCUGGUGUCUUUGAGGUUCUAACCCAGACCCGUCAUCCGGGUCGGGGACCGUGCAUGGUAGGCAGUUUGACUGGGGCGGUCUCCUCCCAAAGCGUAACGGAGGAGUUCGAAGGUUACCUAGGUCCGGUCGGAAAUCGGACUGAUAGUGCAAUGGCAAAAGGUAGCUUAACUGCGAGACCGACAAGUCGGGCAGGUGCGAAAGCAGGACAUAGUGAUCCGGUGGUUCUGUAUGGAAGGGCCAUCGCUCAACGGAUAAAAGGUACUCCGGGGAUAACAGGCUGAUUCCGCCCAAGAGUUCAUAUCGACGGCGGAGUUUGGCACCUCGAUGUCGGCUCAUCACAUCCUGGGGCUGUAGUCGGUCCCAAGGGUAUGGCUGUUCGCCAUUUAAAGUGGUACGUGAGCUGGGUUUAAAACGUCGUGAGACAGUUUGGUCCCUAUCUGCAGUGGGCGUUGGAAGUUUGACGGGGGCUGCUCCUAGUACGAGAGGACCGGAGUGGACGAACCUCUGGUGUACCGGUUGUAACGCCAGUUGCAUAGCCGGGUAGCUAAGUUCGGAAGAGAUAAGCGCUGAAAGCAUCUAAGCGCGAAACUCGCCUGAAGAUGAGACUUCCCUUGCGGUUUAACCGCACUAAAGGGUCGUUCGAGACCAGGACGUUGAUAGGUGGGGUGUGGAAGCGCGGUAACGCGUGAAGCUAACCCAUACUAAUUGCCCGUGAGGCUUGACUCU
rnacentral:rRNA from 1 species